rnacentral:rRNA from 1 species
AAUCCAUAGGUUAAUGAGGCGAACCGGGGGAACUGAAACAUCUAAGUACCCCGAGGAAAAGAAAUCAACCGAGAUUCCCCCAGUAGCGGCGAGCGAACGGGGAGGAGCCCAGAGCCUGAAUCAGCAUGUGUGUUAGUGGAAGCGUCUGGAAAGGCGCGCGAUACAGGGUGACAGCCCCGUACACAAAAGCGCAUGUGCUGUGAGCUCGAUGAGU